GCGCAGGCGGUUAUAUAAGACAGAUGUGAAACGUCCCCCGGGCUCCAACCGUCGGGAACUGCUAUUUGUGACUUUAUAGCUGGAGUGCGGCAGAGGGGGAUGGAAUUCCGCGUGUAGCAGUGAAAUGCGUAGAUAUGCGGAGGAACACCGAUGGCGAAGGCAAUCCCCUGGGCCUGCACUGACGCUCAUGCACGAAAGCGUGGGGAGCAAACAGGAUUAGAUACCCUAGU
rnacentral:rRNA from 1 species